AAUUUGACGACUGACGUCACAUCUGUGUGUUGACUCCUCCGUAGUCUAUAUUAAAUUAUUGAUUUUGACGCCGAGCGUUUUUACGGUCUUAAAUGAAAUUGUACAAAGAAAUUCUGAUAGCAACGUAUUUAAAAUAAAAUUCAAUAAUUUCACAAACAUUUUAAUCACGAAUUUUUUAAAAUUUUUGAGUAAAAUGGUGCAGAAAGGGCCUCGACCUUUAGUUCUUUGCGGUCCUUCGGGUUCCGGUAAGAGCACUUUAUUGAAGCGAUUGCAAAAAGAAUUUCCGGAUAAGUUUGGUUUUAGCGUGUCGCAUACGACAAGAGGCCCGAGGCCGGGUGAAAAAGAUGGGGUUCAUUAUCACUUCACAACUAGGGAUAACCUGCUUGCUGCAGUUGAAAAGGGGGAAUUUAUUGAAACGGCUAUAUUCAGUGGAAACUUGUAUGGGACAAGUAAAAAGGCUGUGGAAGAUGUGCGUCUAUCAGGAAGAAUCUGUGUUCUGGAUAUUGAAAUAGAAGGAGUCAAACAAAUUAAGCGUACGGAUUUAGAUCCUUUACUUGUGUUUGUAAUGCCGCCAUCUAUGGAUGAGCUAGAGAGACGCUUACGUAACCGUAACACUGAACAAGAGGAGGCUUUACAGAAGAGAUUAGAAACAGCACGCCAUGAAAUAAAAUAUGGUCAAGAGCCAGGCAAUUUUCAUAUUGUGAUUCUGAAUGACAGCUUGGACAAAGCUUAUGCAGAGCUACGUGAUUUUAUAAUCAAGAAUGCAGAUAAUGUUGUGGAAGGGGCUGCCAUGUUUACCUUGUGGAAUGGAUCCAGUCACCCUUCGACGACCGUUAAUUGUCUAUGACAGCACAUUCGAUUACCGUCCAACAAGCUAUCCAGGGAUGAUUUUAAAUAACCAAGAUAAAAAAGUUCGAUACCAGCUAAUAAACUUCCAACGUCCUAUACAAGCACAUUAUCCAUCUUGUGCCCCAUCAUAUAACUAGAAAAUAUAUUGGUGUGGCGGCUGUCCCUCGCCUUGUUGCUCCCCGUGCCGGCCCACGUCCUGCUGCGGCGGAGCUGGUUCCCUCGUCACAGUUUACAGUCAAGUAGCACAUAUCCAGUGACCCUCGGCCAAUUGAGCUACACA
rnacentral:misc_RNA from 1 species